AAAAGACACUUUAUUCAAAUAAGUACAUAAUCUCACAGCUGAAUACUUUCCAUGAAUAUUCUGACACAUUUAUUUAAAUUUUUGAAAUCUUACUUUAUGCAUGUUAUAAUGGAAAAUAGAGGAUGAAUCUCUUUAUAAUUUUAUCUCAUUUAUGUUAAAUACAAAGAUAUUCUAGAUCAGAACUAACAAGAUGAAAGUAAUUUAUUAAAAGUAUGAAAUUUCAUUAAAGUAGUAUUUAAUUUUUUUAUGUUGGCAUGAUUGGUCUAUUACCAACAACCUUCAAGGAGCUAACUCUUUUAUAAUCUUUAUUCCUGGUGCUUGAUUUUCCUCUUUAUAUCAAUCCACUAUGUGUUCCACAAUUCUAAUCUCAGAUUUAAAAAAUAAAUGGUCAAAGGGAGUGGCAAAAUAUUUGAAUUGCUUUCAGAGGUUUGAUGGUAGGACCCAGAAGACAUAGAGAUUGCCAGAAUUAACAUAACAGAGGAUUCAAUGUGCUCCUGUGAGAAGCAUUGAUUGGGGUGGGAAUACAAGUCUGUUUCAAGCUUUCUGUACUGGUAGUAACUACUCACAGCUUCUACUCUUGCUUCUUAACCAUAGCUUUCCUUUUUUUUUCUUUCCAGGGCUAUAAGAUUUUUAUUUGAUUUCAAUAAUCUUCCACCUGUAUCUCCUUUUUACUUAUAAUGAAAAAUUUCAGUUCUGUAAGACACCAAUAUAAUGACUUACUUGCUUUAUCUCAUAAUAUAUAAACAGUUGCAAAAUAUGAAUAACAGCACUACAACUAGCAAUAUGAUGAUUGCUUAACAGCUAAAGAUUAUUUUUAGGGUUUUUUUUUGCCGUGAUUAUUUCUUAAGGUAUAAAAAGUCAAAUUACUACACAGCUUUCCUUUAUAAUGGGCAACCAAGUACCAUAGGUUGAAGGGCUACUCUUCAGCAGUUAUAGCCUCACUUGAAAACUCGGCUGACCUCUGCUAAGAGCUUCCACUUAGCGGUUGGUAGUUGUGUUCAGACUCUGCCUCUGCUACUUACUAGCUCUAUACCUUUGUGAAAGCCAUUUAAUGUCUCUGCCUCAGUUUUCAAAUUGGAAAGAAGAGAGGGAGGAAGAAAAACAGAAGGAAAAACCCUAUUUUACAUGGUUGUUCUCAGACUAAGAAAAAAUAUAUAAAGCAUUUACCUCAAUGCCUAGAGCUUAAAAAUUAUUAAGCAAAUGGUAACUAUAUUAUUUAGCUCAUGAGCCAAAUUCUUUCCAGAUAAAAUUUUUAGAAAUCAAUAGAAAUAAAACUUGCCACGUAAAAACAAUUUUCCACCUUCAACAGAAAUAUAUGGGCAGGUAAAUUCUGUCUUAUGCAAACUUUUGUGGUUCUUUAAAAUUAACCGUAGGAGGAAAAAGAUUUACAAUGUAUUUUGGGGGGGAGGGGCGGGAAUGGCAGUGAGGGAGACAAGAAAUAUGUAGGGAAAAUCAUCUUAGAAAAAAUAAAGCUUCUUAAAAUUGAUAUAAGCAGAGGGUGGAAACUGAGGCCGGGAGAUUAUUACUCGUCCACGCUUACAGGGUGGGGUGGGGCAGCGUUCUCCAGGGUUUCGCCUUUGCCGAAGACCCGCUCCACCUUCUCUCGACCCAGAUGCCCUUGUCGGGAAGAGUAUGCUGUCCUCAGUGCCUGGGACAAGCUCACAAGCCCUCGUCUGUUCCAGGAAUUCCAGUCCAAGCUCAGUCCUCUCUCCAUCCCGGGGCAUCCUAAGCGUGUCUUUGAACCGCACUGUGGAGUUUCACUCCGAAAGUCCUUCUUACAGAGCAACUCCAAGGAUGGGCUGAAAAGCACAUAGAGAAAAUGGAACAGUGCGAAGUUGGAAGGUCCGUGCGGGUGGCAGCGCCAGUGUGGGGAUGAGAUGCUCACAGGACGGUUUUUAGGCGGCUCACAAGGGUUUUUUCUUUCUUUUCUUUCUUUCUUUUUUUUUUUUCUUUUUUCUUUUUCUUUCUUUUUUUUUUUUUUUUUUGAGACGGAGUCUCGCUCUGUAGCUCAGGCUGGAGUGCAGUGGCGCGAUCUCCGCUCACUGCAACCUUUGCUUCCCGGGUCCCGGUUCAAGCGAUUCUCCUGCCUCAGCCUCCCGAGUAGCUGAGAUUACAGGCGCGCGCCACCAUGCCCAGCUAAUUUGUGUAUUUUUAGUAGAGACGGGGUUUCACCAUGUUGGCAAGGCUUGAACUCCUGACCUCGUGAUCCGCCCGCCUUGGCCUUCCAAAGUGCUGGGAUUACAUGCGUGAGCCACCGCGCCCGGCCUCACAAAAGUGUUUUUGAAGGCUCCAUUCCCGAAGACUGAGUGAGGUAUUCGAUAUCCUCCUCCCUCAUUGAAAAGUUGUGUAACAGGAAUCUAAGUUCAUGCCGUUUGAUUCCCAAGACUUCUCCAAGCCGCACUGUAGAGCAGGAAAAUCGACUAAUAUUACUGCUCAGAUUAUCAUCAUAGUGGCCAUUUAAGAUGGAAUGCGACAUCAAGGGUAAACUAGGCAUUGAAAAAUUCACUUUCAGACCUCCCUUCCGUGCCUCACUCUCCGGCCAGUCCUUUUCCCCAUUCGCCAUUCAGGCACUAAAAUUUUGCAGUUUGAGAAAAAGAAAAGUGAGGAAAACACAAGAGAAAAAACGCGAGGCUUUUCGGGUUCUUUUUUAUAUAUAGAAUAGCUUAUAUAGUCCAAUUUUAUUUUCUAAAUCGCCCCACACAUAAAACGUAUAACUCUAGCCAAGAUGAAGGAAAAAAGAAAUGUAAUAGUUGGGAGCAGAGAGAAAUAGCCAGCACCACCCCCCAGCGCAGAGCCGGGGCGCGGGGCCUCGGGUCGCCCCCUCCGGCUCCUCUGACCCGAGACUCGCCAGGUCUUGGACAUCCUCAGCCUGCGACACCGUUCCCAGGACGGCUCAUCACCUAUUAUCUCGGACUCCAGAUUUUGUGUAAAAAGCGUGAGGCUGCUCCUCAUUGACACCCACUUAGAAGUUGGUUGAUGAAGACUGCAGUGAGCACUCUCAGCAAGGGUAAAACUGGCACAUUUGGGCCUGAAAUGGGGUCCUCGGGGCCUGGUAGGCUCAAGUAUGCCCUUGGUAAUUUCCAGCUUACAGAGAAAAGAAGAGCGUUCACUUUGUUUCUGCUGGCAGGGUGAAAAGGGGCAGCUACGUGGCCAAAGGUUACACGUUUUCCCUCACUGCGAACUGUCAGCCUUAUUCCGAGUAUAGCCACCACUGACUUCUGACCCUGGACGGUGUCAUUCACCGGGAACUCUUAACGUCUCCGGCCGAGAAAGGAGGGGACGGUAGCUAACUCUUUCGGCGGAGCUGAACCCCUACCCCCUCCCUCCUGUGACCCGAGCCUACUGCGAGACCUGGACACCGCCAAGUGGGGCAACGUUUCGCUCUUACAGCAGCUUCCCGACCUCUGCUAACUCCCAGGCCAUUUCAGAAGGCGCAAAGGGGAGAAGGAAAAGUUCAGAGAGCAAACGUUGCUCUCUAGCCUCCCCCAACCUCCAGUUCCUCUCUUCCUUCCCCUGCUGUCCAAACUUCAUACUGUCCACCAGGGGAGACUGCCCCCCGACUCGGCUGUCCCUCACUAACGCGGUGGUCCCCGACCUAGGGUCGCAGAUGCACUUCCCGAGGCACAUGCGGGCGCAACAAGGUAACUGCGCUCCAGGCGUGGAACCCCAGUCCUGAGCGAUGUGAAACCAACCCCAAGCGGGCUGUGCUCACAGUUUGGGAAAAGGUAAUGUCUCUGAUCCCCCCAUAUCCACCCCUCCCCCAACCCUUGAGGACAGAUUCGGGUACCGCAAAACCGCCAGGCACAGAAGGGAGGAGAGCUGGGACGGACAGGCUACUCCCGGGGAGGGGAUCACCUCCACGUUCCCGCUCCAAGCGGCUGGUAGCUGCUAGUAAUUCAGACUUCUGGCCUCGGAGGAAGAGUGCCAGGGAAGAAAGAGACUAAGAAAUCCUCAAACGCCCGUAGAACAAGACCCGGGAGAAGUGCCCAAGUGGGCGCGGCCGUCGGCGAGGUCAGUUUAGCCUGUACUGGACCGUGGAACCCUGAGCGCUGAGGCUGUGGGGUCGCGGGAUUCUACUGGGCCUCGCCAGCUUCCACAGUCUGCUGCGGUCUGUGGAAUGGGGAAGGAUAAAAUACAGACUUUGGUUUAUUUUAAAAAAUGGUAUUCUGCCUGAACUAUCAGGUCCAUGGUUUGCUUUUGGCGCUUGCAGAAGCACCAGGACGAUCUUUCCAAAAAUUUCUGCAGUAGUUUAACUAACCAAUGAAAUAAAUGAAGGUUAAAAAACCAAAACAGA